GCACAGAGCCCAAUACAGGGCUCGAACCCGCAGACUACGAGAUCGUGACCUGAGCUGAAGUCAGAUGCUUAACCAACUGAGCCACCCAGGUGCCCCAGGAUUUGAAUUAUUUUAAAUUGUUUAUUCACAGGAACGAUCAGUGAGUUGCAGUUGACUAUAGAAUUUUGGAAUUUUUAAACGAACUUAAGAGAUCUAUUUUUAUUUUAAUUAAUGAGGAAACUGAGUCACAUAGUCUUAACUAAGGUGGCAACUGUGGAAGAACAGGUUAGAAUCCAAGUCUAUAGUCCUAGGGCAGUGUUUUGUUCAUUGUUUUUUGUUUUGUUUGUUUUUUUUUUUCAGUCAAAAACACAAGCAUGAUUCUUCAUAAAUUCAAGAGUUUUCCAUUUGGGAUAACAACAGACACAGGCCCCAGCCACCAACUCUAAAAAGGUCAAGGUAAAAUUUUUCCUCCCCUACAAAAACAACAACAACAAAAAAAGGCUCUUAACUUUUUUUUCUAAUUAACCAGAGGCUGAAGUAACAGAGCUGAAGAAAAAACUAGAGGUGAAGUGAUUUGUACAAAAUGUCAUAUUGUGUAAUUUGUUGAGUGUCAUGUAUUAAUAGCAACAUCCUGAAAAUGCAAAUGAAUACAAAUCUGAUCAGUGUACCAUGACAUUCUUUCAUGUAAGCCUCCUAAGAAAAGGUCACUGAGCAUUCUCUGUUUAGAUUUUAAUUUUAGACUCCAGUAUUUCACACUAGACCUUUCUCAUUUCUUACCAAGCAGUGAAAGAACAGUUCUUAUUUCCAAUAUGUCUUGUUUUCUCAGCCCUUUAAAUGCGUGUUUCUUCAAAAAGUUUAAGUUUCAAGAAGGGAAAAGAAUGGGCAAGAAGGGUAGGCCAGAAAUAAUACAAGAAAAUAAAGGCAAAUACAGGAAAUGACAAAACUCCUCCUUCCUGAGAACAUUUAACAUAAAGGACCCCAAAAGUUAACCUUGCGUUAGACAUGUUGAAUUCUCUCACUUGAUCUCCAGAGAUGACUGUGCCCACCAUCCCGCUCCUCUCCAUCUUUGACUUACAGAAUACACUCAUGUAACACUUCUUCUUGAAGUACAUUUAAAUUCAAGAGCCUCAGUGGUAGCUGCUGCUUCUUGGGAGAUGCCUGGUUUAGGAUAAACAACUGUUUUGAGAAACUGCUUUUACUGACAUUUUGAAAAAAUUAAAAGUUCUGGAUAAGAAUUGAUUGUACCAAAUACUAUCUUUUUCUACUUUGGUUCAUUAGUUCAUUUUGGCCAUUUGGGAAGGUCUUUUUUUUUUUUUUUUUUUUUCUUUUUAGUUCAGUUGUUCAUGAAUAAGUGUGCUUACUGUACUACUGUAUUCUCAUUACCCCUUUGCUUCCGGAGUACCUUCCAGUGUGGGUUUCUAA